AUAAUGCAGUCGAGCGGACGGACCGGAGGUUUCUCCCCCAUGUGCGCGGGGUCCGGGGGUUAAACACGUGGGUAACCUGCCUGUAAGACUGGGAUAUCUCCGGGAAACCGGAGCUCUUACCGGAUAGUUCCUUGAACCUAACGGGUCAAGGAUGAAAGACGGUUUCGGCUGUCACUUACAGAUGGACCCCCGGCGCAUUAGCUAGUUGGUGGGGUAAUGGCUCACCCAGGCGACGAUGCGUAGCCCACCUGAGAGGGUGAUCGGCCCCCCUGGGACUGAAACACGGCCCAGACUCCUUCGGGAGGGAGCAGUAGGGAAUCUUCCGCAAUGGACCAAAGUCUUACGGAACAACCCCCCGUGAGUGAUGAAGGGUUUCCGAUCCUAAAGCCUUGUUGUUUGGGGAGAACAAGAUGGAGAGUAACUGCUCGCACCUUGACGGGACCUAACCCGAAAGGCCCCGGUAACUUAGUGGCAGCAGCCGCGGUAAUUCGUAGGGGGGAAGCGUUUUUCGGGAUUAUUGGGCGUAAAGGGCUCGCAAGCCGUUUUCUUUAAGUCUGGAUGUGAAAGCCCCCCGGCCUCAACCGGUGGAGGGGUCAUUGGAAAACUGGGAAAACUUUGAGGUGCAGAAGGAGGAGAAGUGGAAAUUUCCACUGUGUAGCGGUGAAAAGGCGUAAGAGCUGUGGAGGAACCACAGUGCGGAAGGCACGUUCUGGAUCUGUAACUGAACGCUGAUGAGCGAAAGCUCGGGGAUCAACAGGAUAGGAUCCUUGUAGUCCACGCCGUAACGAUGAGUGCGUAGUGUUACGGGGUUUCCGCCCCUUAUAGAGUGCGACUGCCG
rnacentral:rRNA from 1 species